rnacentral:rRNA from 1 species
UACGGGGGGGGCAAGCGUUGUUCGGAAUUACUGGGCGUAAAGGGCUCGUAGGCGGCCAACUAAGUCGGACGUGAAAUCCCUCGGCUUAACCGGGGAACUGCGUCCGAUACUGGAUGGCUUGAGGUUGGGAGAGGGAUGCGGAAUUCCAGGUGUAGCGGUGAAAUGCGUAGAUAUCUGGAGGAACACCGGUGGCGAAGGCGGCAUCCUGGACCAAUUCUAACGCUGAGUGAGCGAAAGCCAGGGGAGCAAACGGG